rnacentral:rRNA from 1 species
AACGAACGCUGGCGGCAUGCCUAACACAUGCAAGUCGAACGAUGGCUUCGGCCAUAGUGGCGCACGGGUGCGUAACGCGUGGGAAUCUGCCCUUGGGUUCGGAACAACCGUUGGAAACGACGGCUAAUACCGGAUGACGUCGAUAAGACCAAAGAUUUAUCGCCCGAGGAUGAGCCCGCGUAGGAUUAGCUAGUUGGUGUGGUAAGAGCGCACCAAGGCGACGAUCCUUAGCUGGUCUGAGAGGAUGAUCAGCCACACUGGGACUGAGACACGGCCCAGACUCCUACGGGAGGCAGCAGUGGGGAAUAUUGGACAAUGGGCGAAAGCCUGAUCCAGCAAUGCCGCGUGAGUGAUGAAGGCCUUAGGGUUGUAAAGCUCUUUUACCCGGGAUGAUAAUGACAGUACCGGGAGAAUAAGCCCCGGCUAACUCCGUGCCAGCAGCCGCCGUAAUAC